rnacentral:misc_RNA from 1 species
CAACUCUGCUGCGUUCUUGCUGUAGGUAGAGUAGGCUUCCCCUGCUUGUGCAAAGCCAUUGUCAAAGAAAAUACAUUCCACUCGCGAAGUCACCAGGGUGCAACUGUCACCAAAAAGCUAUGGGAUUUCAGAUUAUAUUAUUGCUCGUCUCCUCUCUAAUGCCAUUAACAUGGGGGCUUGGUGUGGAGUUAAAUUGUCCAGUCACCUUCAGUAGUGGCAUAAACAACAUUACUUGCAAGAUCAAUAAGACAGCCAUUGAAAAUGCUGGUUGUAGUUUCAUGCACAAGUCGGUUACAUUUGACUUUAAGGUGAAAUCUACUACAAGCACCGUGUGCUAUGUUGAAUAUGACACUUCACAAAUCUGCACUGAAGACUCACAUAAAGAGGGUUGCUUUUGUAAUAAACGAGUUGGUGAUAUUUGGAGUAUGCAUUUAUUUUCAAGUACAACAGUUUGAACACAAACAUGGAAAGUUUGGCGUGCAAAACUUUGCAUUUACCUAAAUUUCACCUUAAUGAAACAACCACUGAUGGCUGCAAAAACUUUACAGAAAAGG